CUUCUGUUGGUCAGCAGUAAUUGUGCCCACUGCCUCUGUACCAGUAGUCAUUCUCACCCUAUUUACGCUUAGCACUGCCCACUCCUCACCUACGGGUUGCCUUGGCUAGAAACAUCUUGAAGGUGUUAUUAUUCUUUGAAUAGACUACCUCCUGUCUUGGGCUUGACCUCUGAAGCUGACCUGAGUUUCCUCUGUACUGAAGAUGACUUUAAAGAGACGACUGCUGUCCAUUUUGUUGUGUUGUGUUUACUGCGUCGCUUCGCUCUUCUGCUUGAACCCCAACCGCAACAACUGUGGCUCCAUCAGCGCUCGGAAUCUCAUGACAGUUGUCCAGCAGCUGUACCAACGAGUCAUGAGGCUAAUGCGCACCACUCUCUGAUCCUAUGGAGCCGGAGUUGAGUCCCUCAACACUAAUCACCAGGACUGAGACACUCUCCUGCCUUACCCUGUCCAUACAAUGGAGAUGACCUGCAGAGCACCUGCCAUCGACAGAGCAAGAGGACGAAAAGCUCUCAUUGCAGUUCACUGUAAUAAAGCAGGAGAUAGUUUUAAAAAAUGUCAAUGUUUUAUUGAUGCAGAUAGAUUUUGUUGAGAUCCUAGUGGGCCUUAACUGCAUGAGCGUUGUGUUAGUGCCCCAAUUUCCCUGCAUUAUAAUAUAAGUGCUGGAAAAGCCGUUUGCAGGAUAAUUCAAAGAUGUCAUUCAUUUCAUGCCCUCUUGUGGAAAACUGAUCAGUUAUUUCUGCAUGAUCAAGAAAUUAAUGCUUUCAAUGAGCUUCAAUGCUAUCGCUGGACAUGGAAAAUAUUCCCUGCUGGAAUUGAUGUGAUUGAGUUUUGUUAAAUCUACUACAUGAAUGCAUAUAGUGCAGUAUAGGUGCUGUCUUCAUAAAAUAAUACGAAAAAAUGUUCCUUGUGCAAAUUAUGGGAAGAUAGGCUAUGUUUAAUACAUUUGUACCACUUGAUUAGCUAAAUGUUAUAACAGUUGAGUCUUUUGUAAUUAAUGCUGUAUCAAAACUGAUAUAAUAAACUUUACAUUUGUUUUUCAAUUGCCAGUUUAUUUUUUAUAAGGCUAUAUGUUGAAAAUAUGUAUUUUCCAGACGUUGACAUCACACGCACUUCAGGUACUGAAUGAAACGUUAGAAGACGUCUUUUCCUGACGUCGAAAAUAUGUC
rnacentral:lncRNA from 1 species